GAUGAACGCUGGCGGCGUGCUUAACACAUGCAAGUCGAACGAAGCAUUUCGGUCUUAAUCUUCGGAAGCGGACUGAUCUGACUGAGUGGCGGACGGGUGAGUAACGCGUGGGUAACCUGCCCUGUACAGGGGGAUAACAGUUAGAAAUGACUGCUAACACCGCAUAAGCGCACAGAAAGGCAUCUUUCGGUGUGAAAAUAUUUAUAGGUACAGGAUGGGCCCGCGUCUGAUUAGCCAGUUGGCAGGGUAACGGCCUACCAAAGCAACGAUCAGUAGCCGGCUGGAGAGAGUGAACGGCCACAUUGGGACUGAUACACGGCCCAAGCUCCUACGGGAGACAGCAGUGGGGAAUAUUGCACAAUGGGGGAAACCCUGAUGCAGCGACGCCGCGUGAGUGAAGAAGUAUUUCGGUAUGUAAAGCUCUAUCAGCAGGGAAGAAAAUGACGGUACCUGACUAAGAAGCCCCGGCUAACUACGUGCCAGCAGCCGCCGUAA
rnacentral:rRNA from 1 species